rnacentral:lncRNA from 12 species
CUUUAGGAGAGAUCAGGCCACAGCUCCUCCACCAACUCCUUCUGCUAUUUCCACUUUCAGUGCCUCCUGCCAAUAAAGAAAGAGGGAGUGCAGAAGAAGCAGAGACAAAGGAAUGGUAUUUAGAAGAAUUUAGAAGCACAAAAGGUCUUCUGGAAAAUUGCAUUCUUUGCACUACUUUUCCCUGUCCUCUCUUUCAGUGUGCCAGGCAGCUCCCACCAUUACCCUGCCUGUGGGCAGCUGAAUCCUGGCUUGAGAUGAAUGAGGGAAAAUCAGUUUUGGGGAUGGGGUGGAUGUCUGCUGUCCCCCCAGAUUUAUGACUGUGGUGGAAGUUCCUGUCAUCCCUCACUCUGCACCUGUGUUUCCAGCCGCUUCUCCAUUGUUGUUAUUUCCAAGUGAUGACUGAUGGAAUCUCUGCUAAUGCAGCGAGUGAGCUGGGGCUGCUCCAGGUGCAUGCUCCAACUCUUCAAAAUAUCCACUGGACACAGAGGACCCACUGCCUGCAGACCUAGACAUGUCUGGAUAAGGGGGAUCUGCCAAAAGAGGCCUCAGGCUGGAGAACUCAGGGCACAGUAGGUACACUCCUCACAUGGAAAAAAAGACAAUCCCUGUCUGAAGAAUUCUGGGCUAUGUGAAGGAGAAAAUAUGCAGGAAAGAAGAGUUAAGAGAGUUAUGAAUGCAGAAGAAGAUAAAGAAGUCUAAAACAAGUUGACCGUAAGUGCCUGAGAACAAAGUUCUUAGCUUUUUUGGUACAUCUUGUGUGGAGUUACUCAGAAUCUUUUAAUGAUGAAGUAGUGAUCUUGAUUUCAGCAGAGACUGUCAAUUGCCACGUGUUUCUAAACAUUUUGCUGCUGUUGCUGGGAGCAUUAGGGAUGAAUGCUGUAGCACAGAGCAUUGUUCUUCGUGAACAGUGUAGGUCAGGGAGGUGUUAU